rnacentral:lncRNA from 1 species
GGAUUGCCUUCGGUUGCUUUUGUUUGAGUGUAGAGAGCCAUCAAAGAUUGCACCGGUGCUAGAAGAUUCCUCGUAGAUUGAGGCCACCUUCCCUACACAGACUCCUGCGCACGUAGGGAUAGCCGCGAUGCUAGAAGAAUCCUCGUAGGAGGUUUUGUCGCACGCCUCAUCUUGCAGCUCGUGAUCCAGUGGAGUACGCGCUGGAACUCGCGGGUGAUGGGUGAUGAGUGACGCGGUCUUUAUCCCACUCUCUGAGAGGUGGAGGUUUAGCCGUAGAGUGGAUUGGC